rnacentral:rRNA from 1 species
AUUGAACGCUGGCGGCAGGCCUAACACAUGCAAGUCGAGCGGAGUGGCGGACGGGUGAGUAAUGCCUAGGAAUCUGCCUGGUAGUGGGGGAUAACGUCCGGAAACGGGCACUAAUACCGCAUACUAUCAGAUGAGCCUAGGUCGGAUUAGCUAGUUGGUGGGGUAAAGGCCUACCAAGGCGACGAUCCGUAACUGGUCUGAGGGGAUGAUCAGUCACCCUGGACCUGGAACACGGUCCAGACUCCUACGGGAGGCAGCAGUGGGGAAUAUUGGACAAUGGGGGAAAGCCUUAGCCGGCCAGGCCGCGUGUGUAAAGAAGGCCUUCGGAUUGUAAAGCACUUUAAGUUGGGAGGCGUUACCAACAGAGUAAGCAACGGCUAACUACGUGCCAGCAGCCGCGGUAAUAC